rnacentral:pre_miRNA from 1 species
GUAAGAACCAUACCAUUCAAUGUCAAUCACACUGUCAUGCAUGGCUUCUUACACU